UUUAUGAUGAGAGUGAGUGAAUACAUCAUAAGAAUAAGAAAACAUUUAUUCCUCUCACAAUGAAAUAUUUCUGGGUUUAUAAGGUUGCUUUUGAGCGCUUAAAGACGCACCACGGUGCUGCGUUCCAAUUUAUAAGAGUUUAGUUCACCCGACGUCUUUAUCGCAGUGCAUCAUGGGAAGCUCCGCUACCUGGAAGUCGAGACUCUGUACGCUAAAGGGGGGCAUCAACGAGUCACGUGACAAUCGGUCAGCGAUGGAGUAGAGGUGAAUGUGCUGCAGCAAAUACUCUCGAGGGAAAAUCCUUUGGAGAAAUGGGAAGAAAAAUAAGUGGUGGUGGUCCUCCAGCCCACUCAUAUUGCGGGUGGGCCUGGAACUCCACCCCCCUUCUCCCGCGAUACACACGGCGUGA